UUCACCGGGCUGGAGGCCCCCGAGGAAUCCCGCCCCGGGCUUAAUUUCCGUUGCAUUUGGAGACCCAUCGAGCGGGGUAGCUCCGCCCGACCCCUGCGAUUUCCACCGGGCAGCCCUUCCACUACCCUUGGGUCCGGGUGUCUCUUCCCCGAGGCGAUAGAGAGCGCCGCUCUUCUGGUCGCCCAGCUCCUUCUCGCCCCACCGUGGAUCUCCCCUUCCAUCGUCAACUCGGCCGCAACCUCCUCGGCGCGUCCUCAUCGCCUCGCUCAGCUGCGACCGCCUCCACCUGACCUUCCGCAGUUCUUGGGGAAAAAGAGCUGGGUCAACCAGCAGGAGGAGCGGCCCUCCAUUGAAACAUCCAGAGCAUUUUCGACAGUGACUCCAUUAUUAUUGAUCUAAUUGAAGAUGUCUACAAACCAGAGGCUUCUUGAGGGACUCGACUAACUUUGUAUCUAUGUCUAUCAUCGUUAGAGUGUAUAAUAUCUUAGCUGCCUUCUAAAUUUGUAACGCACAGAAAACUGUCCUUUUUAUGUCUCUUGCACCAGCUAAGUGAAUGUUGUUCUACCAGUUGUAUCGGCUGAAACUUGGUACUUUCUGUUAGAUUGAUUUGUCUAGAUUUCUAAAAAAUAUCAUGUAUAUAUGUGAUGGCCUGAUGACUUGGUGAUAGACUUUUCUAGUUUAUCAGCAUGUCAUCCAGAAUGUGCUGCUCACGAAUACAGUGAUGGCCUGCUUAUGUAAAAAAGUGAUGCUAUUAA